CGGGGCGUGGCGCAGCCCGGUAGCGCGCUUGGUCUGGGACCAAGAAGUCGAGAGUUCGAAUCUCUCCGCCCCGA
rnacentral:tRNA from 1 species